AGUGAACGCUGGCGGUAGGCCUAACACAUGCAAGUCGAACGGCAGCACAGUAAGAGCUUGCUCUUACGGGUGGCGAGUGGCGGACGGGUGCGGAAUACAUCGGAAUCUACUUUUUCGUGGGGGCUAACGUAGGGAAACUUACGCUAAUACCGCAUACGACCUACGGGUGAAAGCAGGGGAUCUUCGGACCUUGCGCGAUUGAAUGAGCCGAUGUCGGAUUAGCUAGUUGGCGGGGUAAAGGCCCACCAAGGCGGCGAUCCGUAGCUGGUCUGAGAGGAUGAUCAGCCAGAUUGGAACUGAGACACGGUCCAGACUCCUACGGGAGGCAGCAGUGGGGAAUAUUGGGCGAUGGGCGCAAGCCUGAUCCAGCCAUACCGCGUGGGUGAAGAAGGCCUUCGGGUUGUAGAGCCCUUUUGUUGGGAAAGAAAAGCAGCAGGUUAAUACCCCGCUGUUCUGACGGUACCCAAAGAAUAAGCACCGGCUAACUUCGUG
rnacentral:rRNA from 1 species